rnacentral:tRNA from 1 species
GGCUUUAUAUUCAAUUAUGAUUUUAGACUGCAAUUCUAAAGGUGUAAAACUUUUACUAAGGCCU